rnacentral:rRNA from 1 species
GACGAACGCUGGCGGCGUGCCUAAUACAUGCAAGUCGAGCGAAUGGAUUAAGAGCUUGCUCUUAUGAAGUUAGCGGCGGACGGGUGAGUAACACGUGGGUAACCUGCCCAUAAGACUGGGAUAACUCCGGGAAACCGGGGCUAAUACCGGAUAACAUUUUGAACCGCAUGGUUCGAAAUUGAAAGGCGGCUUCGGCUGUCACUUAUGGAUGGACCCGCGUCGCAUUAGCUGGUUGGUGAGGUAACGGCUCACCAAGGCAACGAUGCGUAGCCGACCUGAGAGGGUGAUCGGCCACACUGGGACUGAGACACGGCCCAGACUCCUACGGGAGGUAGCAGUAGGGAAUCUUCCGCAAUGGACGAAAGUCUGACGGAGCAACGCCGCGUGAGUGAUGAAGGCUUUCGGGUCGUAAAACUCUGUUGUUAGGGAAGAACAAGUGCUAGUUGAAUAAGCUGGCACCUUGACGGUACCUAACCAGAAAGCCACGGCUAACUACGUGCCAGCCGCCGCAGUAA